CACGUAGGGGGCAAGCGUUGUCCGGAUUUAUUGGGCGUAAAGAGCUCGUAGGCGGUUCGGUAAGUCGGGUGUGAAACCUCCAGGCUCAACCUGGAGACGCCACCCGAUACUGCUGUGACUAGAGUCCGGUAGGGGAGCGUGGAAUUCCUGGUGUAGCGGUGAAAUGCGCAGAUAUCAGAAAGAACACCAACGGCGAAAGCACUCUGCUGGGCCGACACUGACACUGAGAGACGAAAGCUAGGGGAGCGAAUGGG
rnacentral:rRNA from 1 species